rnacentral:lncRNA from 1 species
UUUUUUUUUUUUGUUGACAAUAGAACUUUGCAUAAUCUGUUUGUAUGUGUAAUCAUCAAUCAGUUUACGAUGAGAGGCAUAUGCUUGAACAUGGAAGUUUGCCUUCAGAUAAUAAUGAGAAUUGUGUCAGAAAAAAAAAUAGAGCAAGAUUAAGCCUGGAUAGGCUUAGUUAUAUAUUGUACUGAAAAAAAAAACUAGAGCAAGAAUAAGUACCUGCCAAGGCAAGACGCAAUAUAAAUAUGACCAGGAUAAGUUGGAGAUUGGCCAGUUCUGAGUUUUGCUAAUAUCGAUUCUUCCUAUAGGGGCAUCUCCUGGUGAAGGCACCGGGGCAACUAUGUCCGAUGACGAAGACAAUCCGGUCGACAGUGAGAGCAACAUGUUUGACGGGAACGAUGUGUCAGAUGGCAUGGGCUUCGGAAUGCUAACCGAGGGUGAGAGAUCCUUGGUCGAGCGCGUGAGGCAAGAGCUGAAGCAUGAGCUUAAACAGGUAAAACUCGCUGCCUUCCAUUCUGUCAGCUGCCACUAUGUUGGUGUCCAAACUGAACUGUAAACAAAAUUAUUUUCCUGACUUUGCAGGGGUAUAGAGAAAAGCUUGUGGACAUCAGGGAGGAGAUACUGCGGAAGCGAAGAGCCGGAAAGCUCCCAGGGGACACGGCGUCUACCCUGAAAGCUUGGUGGCAAGCCCACGCCAAAUGGCCGUACCCAACUGUAUGUGACAGACAUCCCGCAUAUACCGUCAUCGCCAGCAACUUUGUCACCAUUUUACAUGCAAUUCUUGUUGUGCUACUGAUGAGCAUCGCUGGUGGGUAUUGCUAGGAGGAGGACAAGGCGCGGCUGGUGCAGGAGACGGGGCUGCAGCUGAAGCAGAUCAACAACUGGUUCAUCAACCAGCGCAAGCGGAACUGGCACAGCAACCCUACCUCGUCCUCGUCAGACAAGAGCAAGAGAAAAAGGUACGGCGAUCGGCCCAAAAACAAUCCUUUCAUCACAUGCUUGAAAUCGCUCAGGUUUUCAUUCCCUCUCUUUCAUUCUCAAAAAAAAAAAAGGAACAAUGCAGGUGAGGGCAACGCCGAGCAGUCCUGGUAGGGCGGGUGCGGUCGGUCGGAGAGCGAAGAACGAAGAACGAAUGCCCCCAUAUAUGUACAUAGCGCUUCCAUCUUGGAGAAGGCUUUGAUACUGCUAUUUAUUGCUCGGGAGACGACGUCGGCCGCUAUUCGCGCGCGGCGUCUCCCCGAGGACCCAACCAUCUGUGUUCCCCAAAAAGAAAAAAAAAACAUGGUAGUAGUAAUGUAAUGCUGUAAUGGAAUUACCCGAGAUGUGUACUAGCUGUUUUGUGGCGCGCCGCGGCGUCGCUGUGAGCGAGUGUGUACGGGCUGUUCCGUGGUGUGUGUGUCUGUGGAUGAUUGUGUGUUGCGUUGCCGUGGGACUGGUGCAAGUGUCGUGUGAUGUGGUAUGUGUUGUGUGUGGGUGGGUGCUGUAUAUUUGCGUACCUCUAUGUGUACUGACCGUGAUGCGUUGUUUGUCCGUUUUAUCUCUCUAUAUAUUGUCCGUUGUUUGUCCGUUCGGCAUCCCAGCUGGUGCGUCCCAGCCGAGAGAUUUGGCACGCGGAGAGGAGGAAGAUCCGCGAUGGACAUGGGGAUGCACGAACCGGACAAGGCUUGGUUUGCGGCGCUACCGGUACGACGAUAUCUCCGGCCGGAUCCUCUCGCGCAGAUCGAAAAUACUAGACAGACGACACUCCAUGCACGAUGCAUGCACGAUUUACAAUCAGAUGGAUGUGAAGCACUUUAUUCCCUGAUUCAAUGGCUGGAUGUGGAGCGUCGUUCAUGCAUCGUCCAAAAACGUCGUGUGUAUAGCAGCUCUCCGCGCAGAUCCCGGGAAGUUAACAAACGGAACCAUCACAUGCGCAUCGUCCUCGUCGUCCCCCCGUCGUGGCACCCCCGCAUGUGCCCCGGGCAUGGGCGCCCCGGACUUCACUCGGCCGUGCAAAGUCAGCAGCAUCCGAGAUGGCAUCGGCAUGGGUGAGCCACGAGACCCAGGCCACAGAAUCAGCAGAAAACCAAGGAUGGACACGAGUAACAAGGGCCAUAAUAAGAUUCUGAAAAUGCAGGAAUAGGAAAAGUACUUGAUUCCUAUAUAGGAUUAGUAAAGAGUGUUUGAUGCCACAUGAAAGACAAAGAAACUCUAAUAGAAGGUUAGAGUGGAUGUUUACAUUUCCUACGAAAUGUAGUAAGUACUCUAUAAUAUUUCAUAUGAAAAACCCCUAUGGAAUUCAAUCCUAUUACGAACCCAAGGGACGACAUAAGAAAAAUUCCCAAGGACUUCCAAGGAGCCCUAAGAAAAAUACCCUAUAGGAUUUCUUUGAAUCAAAGGAGCCCCAAGUAGAGCAGCCGCAGCUCUUUCAGGCAGAAAACAGAGGGAACAACAUGUUUUUUCCUCACAGGAUAAUAAAACAAAACAACUGGACCCUUUUUACAGAGACACCGAACCAUUUCGGCAUACAUCACAAACACACGAAAAACACAAGCAUAUACAAGCAACAUAGGACCUCAACUGACAGUUCCCAAAACUUGUAUUACCACCACCCACAUUACACAACCAGUUCAUCACCACAUUCUUCAGACUGACCCGACCAACAGACCGACCGAACCGACGACUUCCAAACAACUCGAUUAUUACCCACAAGAAAAGGAAGGGAAGAAAAUAAAUAAAAUAUCGGACUCUCUAUAACUGACAAUAAGACUGGCUUACUCAGCGCGCCUCUAAGCCAAAGCCAAAGGGGAAGGGUAUAAAUGAAUGAAUACGGAUCUGGGACGACGACCGACCGACACUUCUAGACACGGGGAGGCUGGGAGGGAGGGCUCAUGAUUUUAUGAUUACAAGAUAUGAAACAAUGAAGGGGUAUGAACAGAUAGAUAGACACCCUAGGGACCGACCGACGCAACGAAAGAACGAAACCAACCAUAUAUAUAAUAUUUAUAUAUAUCAGCACCGGAUUUCCUAAAAUACGCAAUAUGCGAAGGAGAACUUGUCCAAGACGGAUGGAUGGAUGGCCCCAGAAGUUUUCUCAAGACCGCUGCUGGCGCUACUAGGAUUGCACCUUCUGGGACGCGGCCAUGGCACGCAGCCUCACGGCGAUCUGGGUGAAGCUUGGCCGUUCCGACGGUUCCGUCGCCCAGCAUUGCUCCAUCAGCGACCUCCACUCCGGGUCGCAUGAGUCAGGCACCUGCGGCCGCAGAGUGUUGCUCACAAUGCCAC